CAAAACUUUCAACAACGGAUCUCUUGGUUCUGGCAUCGAUGAAGAACGCAGCGAAAUGCGAUAAGUAAUGUGAAUUGCAGAAUUCAGUGAAUCAUCGAAUCUUUGAACGCACAUUGCGCCCGCCAGUAUUCUGGCGGGCAUGCCUGUUCGAGC
rnacentral:rRNA from 2 species